GAAAGUCCAACGUUAGCUAGGCUAUAAGCGAUUCAAAGAGAACUCAGAUAGGAAAUGGAACUAUUGAACAAUAAAUUCUGCCUGGAAGCAAGAAUUGGGGAAUACAGUGCAAGGGAUACCCGAUGCUCUAUUUCAAAAGUUAUUGGGAAUUUGUGAUAGAAGAUUGUGCAGAUCUGGACAAAAAUUCAAUGUGAAUAACUCUCAAGAAAGAACAGUCUUGGCAAAUUUCAGAGAAUUUUUGAUGGAAGAAUGUGUGUUGUUCCUGAACAUUUUGUACAUGAAAUUUGUCCUUUUGACAUCAUUUGACACUAAUUUGAAGUGAUGCAUUUUUGAUAAAUUUGUACAUGUAUAUGAAAUACUCCAUUUAAAGUGCCACAUCUGUGUCUCAGGUUACUGCUCUAAACUGGGAUCUGCAUGAGUGAACAAACUUGAAUUUCUGCAUUUAUAUUGAUUGCAUUUAUGAAAUUUGUAUUUAUAUUUACCAAAGUACCAAAGAAUGUAUUAAAAUUAUAUGAAAAUGGA